GUUCACUUUGGCAGCACAUAUACUAAAAUUGUAAUGAUACAGAGAUUAGCAUAGCCCCUGCACAAGGAUGAGAUGAACGUUCAUGAAACGUUCUGAAAGAGA